rnacentral:rRNA from 1 species
ACUGCAGUCGAGCGGACUAAUGGGAGCUUGCUCCCAGUUAGUUAGCGGCGGACGGGUGAGUAACACGUGGGCAACCUACCUGUAAGACUGGGAUAACUUCGGGAAACCGGAGCUAAUACCGGAUGACAUAAAGGAACUCCUGUUCCUUUAUUGAAAGAUGGCUUCGGCUAUCACUUACAGAUGGGCCCGCGGCGCAUUAACUAGUUGGUGAGGUAACGGCUCACCAAGGCGACGAUGCGUAACCGACCUGAGAGGGUGAUCGGCCACACUGGGACUGAAACACGGCCCAGACUCCUACGGGAGGCAGCAGUAGGGAAUCUUCCGCAAUGGACGAAAGUCUGACGGAACAACGCCGCGUGAGCGAUGAAGGCCUUCGGGUCGUAAAGCUCUGUUGUUAGGGAAGAAUAAGUGCUAGUUAAAUAAGCUGGCACCUUGACGGUACCUAACCAGAAAGCCACGGCUAACUACGUGCCAGCAGCCGCGGUAAUACGUAGGUGGCAAGCGUUGUCCGGAAUUAUUGGGCGUAAAGCGCGCGCAGGCGGUUUCUUAAGUCUGAUGUGAAAGCCCCCGGCUCAACCGGGGAGGGUCAUUGGAAACUGGGAAACUUGAGUGCAGAAGAGGAAAGUGGAAUUCCCAAGUGUAGCGGUGAAAUGCGUAGAGAUUUGGAGGAACACCAGUGGCGAAAGCGACUUUUCUGGUCUGUAACUGACGCUGAGCGCGAAAGCGUGGGGAGCAACAGGAUUAGAUACCCUGGUAGUCCACGCUGUAACGAUGAGUGCUAG